rnacentral:lncRNA from 1 species
ACAGAGACUGUUUGACUUCCUCGCUUCCUAUUUGGAUGCCCUUUAUUUCUUUCUCUUCUUAAUUGCCCUUGCCAGGUCUUCCAGCACUAUGAUGAAUAGGUGUGGUGAGCGGGGGCAUCCUUGUCUUGUGCCAGUUUUGAAGGAGAAUGCUUCCAGCUUUUGCCCAUUCAGUAUGAUGCCAGUUGUGGAUUUGUCUUAUACGGUUCUUACUAUUUUGAGGCAGUGUUGGUCUGCAAGCUUCAAGAGCCAGUGACCCUGACUGCCAAGUGAUUUGCCGAAGGGAAUUAUGGUUUUGCAUUUGAUGGUUUCCAGGAACUGCUAAGAGUGAGAUCAUCCCUGAAGCAGUGACUGCCAGAGGAAGGCGAGAGACAUAUGGUGGCCUUACAGGAGAAGAACAUGUCUCAGAGAGCUCCUACUCCUCCAGUUUUGGCCCCAGAAUGAAACACAGGAAGAAGACCUGAAUUUGAUUUGCAUUUCAAAGUAGAACUGUCCCAGCUGACAUGAAGACUGAUGAAUAAGGAAUAAGUAUUUAUUGUUGUAUGUCACUGAUAUUUCUGUGGUCGAUUAUGUGUAGAAGAGCUGACUUGUACACUUACAUAAACUUGAAGAAGACUGAAUUUAGAAAUGGAGUUUCUGCAUAUGGUUAUGUCUGAGUAGCUCCAAGUGGAUCAUCCCUCCCACAGAUAACAACUCUAAACUCUGGACAAAAUAUAAAAAUAACAAUUUCCUGAAUAUCAAAGAGCAACCCAAAUCAUGCAGAUACUGGGUAUUAAGGCUGAAUUUGUCUACACAUCAAACAUGUACCUAGGAGGAAUAUUUGCUCUGUGCCAUCAGCAGUGUAGAAACUAGAAUAACCAGCUGCCGUAUUGUGAGCUGCAUUAUGAAGAGAACCAUGUGGCAAGACACUGAGGGAGAUCUCCAGCCAACAACAACUCAUAAGCAACUAAAUCUUGUGAUGAACCACUGGAGUCAUCUGGAAAGAGGAUCCUCUCACCUUCAAUCUUUGAAAUGGCUAGAGCUCUGAUGACAGUUGGAUUACAGCCUUAGGAGAAACAGAGAGCCGGGGAAAUUUGUGCCCAGGUUCCUUUCCCACAGACAUUGUCAGAUAAUAAAUAUCUCUGCGUUUUUAAGCUUC